rnacentral:rRNA from 1 species
UGGGGAAUAUUGGACAAUGGGGGCAACCCUGAUCCAGCAAUGCCGCGUGUGUGAAGAAGGUCUUCGGAUUGUAAAGCACUUUCGACGGGGACGAUGAUGACGGUACCCGUAGAAGAAGCCCCGGCUAACUUCGUGCCAGCAGCCGCGGUAAUACGAAGGGGGCUAGCGUUGCUCGGAAUGACUGGGCGUAAAGGGCGUGUAGGCGGUUUACACAGUCAGAUGUGAAAUCCCCGGGCUUAACCUGGGAGCUGCAUUUGAUACGUGUAGACUAGAGUGUGAGAGAGGGUUGUGGAAUUCCCAGUGUAGAGGUGAAAUUCGUAGAUAUUGGGAAGAACACCGGUGGCGAAGGCGGCAACCUGGCUCAUGACUGACGCUGAGGCGCGAAAGCGUGGGGAGCAAACAGGAUUAGAUACCCUGGUAGUCCACACUGUAAACGAUGUGUGCUAGAUGUUGGGUAACUUUGGUUAUUCUAGUGUCGCAGU